CGCGGCGUGAGUGCGGAGAGAAGGGAGGGUGACGCGCUGGUUUGUUACAAUGUCUCUGCAGAGGUUCCAGGCUGAAUGGGAAGAAAUUGAGCAGGAAUUCCAGCAGUUGCAGGUACAUCUGUACAAACACGGGGAUGGACGAGCAAUUGAUCGGACAGCUGCAUUGACUGCCAGAUGAAAGUUAUGGAACUGUCAUUUUCUGAUAUUGCAGUAUUCACGUAUGUCCCUAAAGGAGUUGCACAAAGUGUACAGGCAGAAACUGGAUGAACUCACAAACCUCCAGACGGUCUGUAGCAAUUCUAUUAGCAAACACAAGAAGAAUCUGGGGGAGAUCAAGUACAGUCUGCGGAGUCGUUUGCAGGUGUAAGAAAGAGCUGUGUACUGCUGAAGAGAGGGAAUUGAUCCAGAGUGUCCACACUCAGAUGAAAGAAAGGCAAAAUGUGUUCUUUGAUAUGGAGGCCUAUUUGCCAAAAAAGAACGGAUUGUACUUAAAUCUAGUGCUCGGAAAUGUGAAUGUAACUCUACUCAAUAACCAGGCAAAAUUUGUGUACAAAGAUGAAUAUGAGAAGUUUAAACUGUACAUGACAAUAAUCUUACUGCUCGGUGCGAUCACCUGCCGGUUCUUUCUCAAUUACAGGGUGAUAGAUGAAAUCUUUAAUUUCAUGCUGGUUUGGUACUACUGCACACUGACGAUAAGGGAAAAUAUUCUCAUCAGUAAUGGGUCAAGAAUAAAAGGAUGGUGGGGUUUGCAUCAUUACGUUUCUACCUUUCUAUCUGGGGUAAUGUUAACAUGGUUUUGUACAGUUCUUGCAGUAUUACUACCAAAGUGGAUGUCUAUACAGGCUCCGGGCUCUAGGGGAAAGAAACCACCUAGAUCUCACAGUGGAGGGGUUUCAGUCCUGGAUGUGGAGAGGUCUCACAUUUCUUCUUCCUUUCCUUUUCUUUGGGCAUGUAAGUACUGCCCUGGAUGUCAUUUGCUUCUGUUGCCCGUUGCAUUGCCUUGCCCUGCCCAGCAGUAUUUCAGUACAGUAGAGAGCGUUUCCAAAGUCUUUGUAAUUUAUUAGUUUUGUCCAGUUUUGACAGCCGGGAAGUUCUGGCAGCUUUAUAAUGCGAUACAGCUGUUUGGGUUGUCCAGACAUGGAGAAUGCAAAGAAUGGCAAGUGUUCAUGCUGGCUCUUGCCUUCCUCAUCCUGUUUUUGGGGAACUUCCUCACGACGCUCAAAGUGGUCCACCAGAAGUUUCAGAAAAAAUGAGGCGAAGUGCAGAAGGAGGAGUGAAUCUUUGAGACUGGAGCUUGUGACACUGAGCCAUGCAAAGAACUGAAAAGAACGAGAUCCAUUGCAUUUUAUAAUACUGUAUCAAAUGAGAGAAACAACAAAGUGCUAGUCUUUGACGUGAUUGAGCGAGUAAGCUAUAUCAGAGUUCAUCAGGAGGACUGUUCAAGUGUAAGGUGUCAUUCUUAUUAUUAUUUUGUUUUUUAAAAUAGCCAUCAUAUCUCUUUCAGACCUUGUUUGUUUUUUAAUCAGACACAGUACGGUUUGCAUCACGACGUGAUCUAUGAGCCGUUGAAACGUUUCAUCUCGUGAGUAUGUUCAUUGCUUCACUAAAUAUUGCCUCCUACUUCUCACCCACUUCAGGAAGACAAGGUUCCUGAUUCAUAAACCAAAAAAAAAACACCAUUACAGAACAUGCUUGGCACAUUGUCAUUUGUACAAAACUAUACAGCUAUGCAGGACACGCUGCUAUUGUGUGACGUGAAUUUAGCGUUUCUGGAUACUGCACUAUGAUUGCUUUACUCACACAUUCAUCAGCAAUGUAUGUAUAUCUAUUGGCCAUAAGAAUCUACUUGUAAAACUGAAAAGUUCUGUAAUGUUUUGGGGUUUUUUUCUUCUGUGGUGUGGUAAUUGGCAGAAGCAGAUCUAAAACAAAAUCUAGUAUUGCUAUACUAUCUUGAGCAAGCCAGAAAGCUUGGAUAAUUUGCUCUGUUUGAUCAAAGGGAAACGUACAGUGGUGUCGGUGGCAUUGCUCAGAAAUCGCUUUAUAGACCACGCAGGAUUGGACAUCUGUUUUAGAUGGCAGAUUACAUUCAAUACAGUGUUCGUUAUUGCAUCAGUUUUUUUAUUUUUAUUUUAAAUGUCUCCUGAUUGUUCGUGUAAGUAAGCAAUUUGCCAUCUGCACACGAUUUCUUUCCAUUAUAAACUGUGGAGCAGAUUAACAGUCACGUAGUUCAAAAUGCUAGCAAGAGAAACUCUUUCUUUAGUGCUGGACACUGAUCAUUCUAACGCUGACGUUGCACAAACUGUGCUUGCUCCAACAGUGCCUCCUCAUUUCUCUAAUAAAGAUACCGGUCCAGUUUAUUUCUAAACGUAUUCAGUGUGUUGCCGACGUCCACAGCUUGAGGUCCCCAGUAAUUCCAGAUUCCUGUGUUCUGGUAGUCGUUCAUAAUGAACAGCAGUUAAGAGGAAAUUGGCUUUGGUUAUAAACAUUGGUGAUGUCUGUCCCUAUGUUUUAAUAAACCAAUAAUACCCAACACAGUAUUAGCAGUAGUAAACCUGAUCUGAAGGCACUGUGCAAUCUCUGAGCAUUUCCAAUAUUGAGCAGGGCUGGGAUCAAUUCUUGUUGUUCAAUUCCCAUUCCCUUUUAAUCAAUUCCAACACUGAUCCACCAUUGAUCCAAAUUGAAAUUAGCAGCAUAUCUAUUCAAAUGAGCUUCUCACACAGUGGUAACAAAUGACUUCAGUUGAAGCCACUGUUGGUCAAUUAAAGCCGUUGAACAUUCACAGCAAUGAUUACAUCUCAAUAUCAAUUCCAAUUCCUUUGAAGGAAUUGAUUUUUAAAAAAAAAUUGAAAAGCAAGGAUUAACCCCACCUCUGGAUUAUUGUCAUUGCAGGCAGUGAAGAAAUGGAAGAUGCGUUUCAAUGUGUUCUUCCACUGUGGGAAAGUAGUUAGUGGUCAGUCUGUGUGACGUGUGUCUGCUGUGUCUAAUUUGAUUCAAUCAAGGGAUUAAGACAGUAAAGUGAGUUAAUAAGAUUCGAUCGCAACCACUACAUAGCAGCUGCUAUAGUUACAAGUACAGUGUUCGUUUUCCAGGACUGGCCGUUUUCUUUGAGCCGGUAGUACAGAUUAUUAGUAACUGAUCAGGGUGAUGUGAUCUUUGUAUAUAUUUACACCGACAAUGUGACUAAGCCAUAAAUGAUUGCUGUCCGUCACUGGUAACCCUUUGUCAAAUCCAGGAUUCAAAGAGUUUUGCACAAGUGCAAUAGGACGUGCAUUAACUGUUUAUUGUGUUCUUUAUGUAGGCUGAGAAGUUGAGGACUUGCUAAAGUUUAAUUGGCACGGUUUGUAUGAUGCCUUAACUGUUAAUAACCGAUGUACUUAAGCUGUGACAGUGUGAUCCUCCUCAGAUCUUUGCACCUUUCCCUGGGGUUUUCAUCUUUAUUUCUGGUCAUACUUGUAUACUUUUUUAUGUUUUUUUUGCAACUUUACAAAAUAAUGAAAGUUUAGAAUCUAAGGUCAUUAUUGUAAGGUGAUACAGCAGUAGUUCCAUAAUGAUUCAUGUGCUCAGUAUUGUACAAAUCUGUGUGAAAUAUCUGAUGGCUUUUGCUUUGCUUUGCUCUACAAAUUUACCACUGAAGAUCAGUUGCAGAUGCAGUCCAGUCUUUUUGUUCAUUUUCCAUGCGUAAAAAAUCUGAAAAGAAUCAUUUUCAUUUUGAGACUUUGUAAGUAAACAACGGGCCCUUUUGAAAAAGGAUAUUGCCCAACAAGUUCACGAGAGCUAACUUGGCUGCCACCACGCACAGCAAAGUAACUGGUUUUGGUUUUGUUGCGAGUCAGAAGCAUGUUUGCUUCGUAAAAAGUUGUGCUCUUCAAAAUGUUACGGCGAUACAGGAGCUCUGAUCUGACGUAUAGAUGUGCAACUGUUCUGAUGGAGGAGCAGAAUGAGCCGAGGACUGCUUCUGGAAGACUGCCCAAAGUUUCUAUAUAUCGGCUCCAAUUGUCUCCAAACAAGCCAUAGAAAAAUCCACUGGGGUUCUAUCCAAUUCCUUUUUAGAAUCAAUUCCAAUUCUCAUUCUCUUUUAAUCAAUUCCAACACAUCGUUGAUCAAAAUUGUGAUUUAGCAGCGUUCUGUUAAAUUGAGUGUCUCACAGUGGCAACAAAUUACUUCCAGUACUUUUAAGUCCCUCUUAUUCAAUUAAAUUGGCUUUAAAUGAAAGCAAUGGAACAAUCGCAGCAUUUACGUCUGUAAAAUAUGAAUUCCAUUUCCUUCGAAGGAAUUGGAAUUGGGAAAUGGAUUUCUCAAAUGGAAUUGGCAUUAAACAGGAGUUGACUCCUACUCUGCUUGGUGGCGAUUUUAAAUGGCGGGCUUGGGGUCCCCCUGUCACUGGCCUCCAGGAAAGUCCUCGGUAAAUUCAACAUCUUCCCUGGCUGUUAAACCACAGGACAGAAUGACUUUAUUAUAAAUAUCAAAAGUACACAAUGCUCUGUUGCUUUAAACUGCUGGAAUGCCCUGCUGAAUGGUUGUGUGAAUGUGUACAGUGUGAAAAUUGACUGGUUUAAAUUUUGUUUGCAGUGAAAUCUACAGUUCUGUGACUCUCAAGAUGUCAGUGCUGUAACAUAAACCUCUGAUUGUUCAAUAAAAUAAUAAUGUUUUCACCAAGUCUUUUUAAUUG